GCCGCACCUACACAGCCGUUCCCGGGCCUGGCUCUGAGCACUGAAGCGAACCCAGGCGUCCAUGACAGCGGCAGUCCCGGCUCCGCAGCCCCGCGCCCGCCCCACUUCCCGCCCCUAGUCACGCCUCCUGGACGAACCAACGGUCGCUCGCGAGGGACAAACAUCCUCCGAAAAGAGAGUGAGUGGGGCCGGCCUCGGAAGCGGAAUUUCAGAACGGGAAGCGUUUGGCCUGGGCCAACACCUGCCGUGUUUUUGUGUGUGUCUCCAUCAGAGGGUACUUUUACCAGGUGGCCUCUGUUUCCUAAGCAUGUCUCAGGCGGCACAUUCUUCUUUAAAUAAUCUGGACCAGGGGCGGGGCUUGCAGGAGUAGGGGCGGGGCGAGAAGGCGCAGAUGCCAGGUCGCCUCGGCGGCUGGGAUAGGGUUGCCCCUCCCCGGGGAUGCUUCCAAAACACCCCAGCGCGCGCGCGCACACACACACACACACACACACACACACACGCGCGCGCGCGCGCGCGCGCGCUGCGGCCAAAUCCAGGGCUCUAGAGGCUGAAGAAGUCUAUGGGAGUAGAAGCUAGCACCAGAUCCCUGCUCCCCGCAGGACCCUGACGGUUGGGCCGGUGACCUCCAGAAUACAGAUGGAGAGUCUCCAGGGACAGAGGCUUUAGUGGACGAAAUUCGCACUAACCAGCUAACCCCUCCUAAUAAGAAGGGCGAAGACUCAGUGGACGAAGCUAACCUCUUCAUACUCACCCUCCAUCCCCUCACCCCUUUCCCUUCCAGAUCACCAUGUCUAUAGGCAAGGCACCCCUGGGGGUUAGCUGCGGAGGAGGAGGUCUGGGCGGGAUCAGUAGAGGUGGUGGGAUCAGAACUCCUCACCUUCUCAGCUGCAGCCAAGGUCCGAGUGGGACUGACCAUUGUACUGUUUCUUUGGCUGUAGGGAACCUGACCAUGCUGUGGUCAGUGACUCGGCCACGACCCAGCCAACUCCAUCCUUCCCCUGUGCGGCAACUCUUUGCCCAAUUAGCAGCUGCUGACUUAACUAGUCACCUUUGUGGCCCCUAGAUGCCAGUUGGAAUAUCACUGUUCAAUGGUUGGCCGGGGACAUUGUGUGUCGGACACUCAUGUUCCUGAAACUAAUGGCCAUGUAUGCUGCAGCCUUCCUGCCUGUGGUCAUUGGACUCCACCGCCAGGAAGCAGUACUCCACUCGCAUGGACCCCGCUCAGCUGGAAGGAAACUUCUGGAGACAGCCUGAGGACUUAGCUUCCUGCUUGCCUUGCCCCAGCUGUUCCUGUUCCACACCGUCCGCCAAGCUGGCCCAGUCUCCUAUAUCCAGUGUGUCACCAAAGGCAGUUUCAAGGCUCGAUGGCAAGAGACCACCAAUAACCUCUUCACCUUCUGUUGCCUCUUUCUGCUGCCAUGGACUGCCAUGACUGUCUGCUAUACCUGCACCGUCCUCAGUGGGUCCAGUUCCCCGACUAGGAAGGGGGACCAUGGUGAGACUCCAAUCCCCGGGCCCUAAUCCAUACCUUAAAACUAUGGCCUCUAGCCUCACUUACUGAUCUGAUAGCUGUGACCACCAAAAGUAACUUCAUAACCAUA